rnacentral:rRNA from 1 species
GGUUAAGCGACUAAGCGUACACGGUGGAUGCCCUGGCAGUCAGAGGCGAUGAAGGGCGUGCUAAUCUGCGAUAAGCGCCGGUAAGGUGAUAUGAACCGUUAUAACCGGCGAUACCCGAAUGGGGAAACCCAGUGUGACUCGUCACACUAUCAUUAACUGAAUCCAUAGGUUAAUGAGGCGAACCGGGGGAACUGAAACAUCUAAGUACCCCGAGGAAAAGAAAUCAACCGAGAUUCCCCCAGUAGCGGCGAGCGAACGGGGAGGAGCCCAGAGCCUGAAUCAGCAUGUGUGUUAGUGGAAGCGUCUGGAAAGGCGCGCGAUACAGGGUGACAGCCCCGUACACAAAAGCGCAUGUGCUGUGAGCUCGAUGAGUAGGGCGGGACACGUGGUAUCCUGUCUGAAUAUGGGGGGACCAUCCUCCAAGGCUAAAUACUCCUGACUGACCGAUAGUGAACCAGUACCGUGAGGGAAAGGCGAAAAGAACCCCGGCGAGGGGAGUGAAAAAGAACCUGAAACCGUGUACGUACAAGCAGUGGGAGCCCCACCACCAAAGCAUUCUCUGGUGUUGAAGGCCCUGCAAAGCAGCAUCGCGGUGGCGGAGCGUCGUUUGCGACGCCCAACACACAAAACAAGCGGUGAAUGCUUUGGGGUGGGGUGACUGCGUACCUUUUGUAUAAUGGGUCAGCGACUUAUAUUCUGUAGCAAGGUUAACCGAAUAGGGGAGCCGGAGGGAAACCGAGUCUUAAUUGGGCGUUAAGUUGCAGGGUAUAGACCCGAAACCCGGUGAUCUAGCCAUGGGCAGGUUGAAGGUUGGGUAACACUAACUGGAGGACCGAACCGACUAAUGUUGAAAAAUUAGCGGAUGACCUGUGGCUGGGGGUGAAAGGCCAAUCAAACCGGGAGAUAGCUGGUUCUCCCCGAAAGCUAUUUAGGUAGCGCCUCGUGAAUUCAUCUCCGGGGGUAGAGCACUGUUUCGGCUAGGGGGCCAUCCCGGCUUACCAACCCGAUGCAAACUGCGAAUACCGGAGAAUGUUAUCACGGGAGACACACGGCGGGUGCUAACGUCCGUCGUGAAGAGGGAAACAACCCAGACCGCCAGCUAAGGUCCCAAAGUCAUGGUUAAGUGGGAAACGAUGUGGGAAGGCCCAGACAGCCAGGAUGUUGGCUUAGAAGCAGCCAUCAUUUAAAGAAAGCGUAAUAGCUCACUGGUCGAGUCGGCCUGCGCGGAAGAUGUAACGGGGCUAAACCAUGCACCGAAGCUGCGGCAGCGACGCUGAUGCGUUGUUGGGUAGGGGAGCGUUCUGUAAGCCUGCGAAGGUGACCUGUGAGGGUUGCUGGAGGUAUCAGAAGUGCGAAUGCUGACAUAAGUAACGAUAAAGCGGGUGAAAAGCCCGCUCGCCGGAAGACCAAGGGUUCCUGUCCAACGUUAAUCGGGGCAGGGUGAGUCGACCCCUAAGGCGAGGCCGAAAGGCGUAGUCGAUGGGAAACGGGUUAAUAUUCCCGUACUUGGUGUUACUGCGAAGGGGGGACGGAGAAGGCUAUGUUGGCCGGGCGACGGUUGUCCCGGUUUAAGCGUGUAGGUGUGUGUUCCAGGUAAAUCCGGUUCACUUUAACACUGAGGCGUGAUGACGAGGCACUACGGUGCUGAAGCAACAAAUGCCCUGCUUCCAGGAAAAGCCUCUAAGCAUCAGGUAACAUCAAAUCGUACCCCAAACCGACACAGGUGGUCAGGUAGAGAAUACCAAGGCGCUUGAGAGAACUCGGGUGAAGGAACUAGGCAAAAUGGUGCCGUAACUUCGGGAGAAGGCACGCUGACACGUAGGUGAAGUGAUUUACUCACGGAGCUGAAGUCAGUCGAAGAUACCAGCUGGCUGCAACUGUUUAUUAAAAACACAGCACUGUGCAAACACGAAAGUGGACGUAUACGGUGUGACGCCUGCCCGGUGCCGGAAGGUUAAUUGAUGGGGUCAGCGCAAGCGAAGCUCCUGAUCGAAGCCCCGGUAAACGGCGGCCGUAACUAUAACGGUCCUAAGGUAGCGAAAUUCCUUGUCGGGUAAGUUCCGACCUGCACGAAUGGCGUAAUGAUGGCCAGGCUGUCUCCACCCGAGACUCAGUGAAAUUGAACUCGCUGUGAAGAUGCAGUGUACCCGCGGCAAGACGGAAAGACCCCGUGAACCUUUACUAUAGCUUGACACUGAACAUUGAGCCUUGAUGUGUAGGAUAGGUGGGAGGCUUUGAAGCGUGGACGCCAGUCUGCGUGGAGCCAACCUUGAAAUACCACCCUUUAAUGUUUGAUGUUCUAACGUGGACCCGUGAUCCGGGUUGCGGACAGUGUCUGGUGGGUAGUUUGACUGGGGCGGUCUCCUCCUAAAGAGUAACGGAGGAGCACGAAGGUUGGCUAAUCCUGGUCGGACAUCAGGAGGUUAGUGCAAUGGCAUAAGCCAGCUUGACUGCGAGCGUGACGGCGCGAGCAGGUGCGAAAGCAGGUCAUAGUGAUCCGGUGGUUCUGAAUGGAAGGGCCAUCGCUCAACGGAUAAAAGGUACUCCGGGGAUAACAGGCUGAUACCGCCCAAGAGUUCAUAUCGACGGCGGUGUUUGGCACCUCGAUGUCGGCUCAUCACAUCCUGGGGCUGAAGUAGGUCCCAAGGGUAUGGCUGUUCGCCAUUUAAAGUGGUACGCGAGCUGGGUUUAGAACGUCGUGAGACAGUUCGGUCCCUAUCUGCCGUGGGCGCUGGAGAACUGAGGGGGGCUGCUCCUAGUACGAGAGGACCGGAGUGGACGCAUCACUGGUGUUCGGGUUGUCAUGCCAAUGGCACUGCCCGGUAGCUAAAUGCGGAAGAGAUAAGUGCUGAAAGCAUCUAAGCACGAAACUUGCCCCGAGAUGAGUUCUCCCUGAGACUUAGAGUCUCCUGAAGGAACGUUGAAGACGACGACGUUGAUAGGCCGGGUGUGUAAGCGCAGCGAUGCGUUGAGCUAACCGGUACUAAUGAACCGUGAGGCUUAACCUU